AGCAGUAGCCACGGGAAUACGGAGGGUGCAAGCGUUAUCCGGAUUUAUUGGGUUUAAAGGGUCCGUAGGCGGAUCUGUAAGUCAGUGGUGAAAUCUCACAGCUUAACUGUGAAACUGCCAUUGAUACUGCAGGUCUUGAGUAAAUUUGAAGUGGCUGGAAUAAGUAGUGUAGCGGUGAAAUGCAUAGAUAUUACUUAGAACACCAAUUGCGAAGGCAGGUCACUAAGAUUUAACUGACGCUGAUGGACGAAAGCGUGGGGAGCGAACAGGAUUAGAUACCCCAGUAGUCCCUGUCUCUUAUAA
rnacentral:rRNA from 1 species